GCUUAUGCGUUGUUGGGUAGGGGAGCGUUCUGUAAGCCUGCGAAGGUGGCCUGUGAGGGUUGCUGGAGGUAUCAGAAGUGCGAAUGCUGACAUAAGUAACGAUAAAGCGGGUGAAAAGCCCGCUCGCCGGAAGACCAAGGGUUCCUGUCCAACGUUAAUCGGGGCAGGGUGAGUCGACCCCUAAGGCGAGGCCGAAAGGCGUAGUCGAUGGGAAACGGGUUAAUAUUCCCGUACUUGGUGUUACUGCGAAGGGGGGACGGAGAAGGCUAUGUUGGCCGGGCGACGGUUGUCCCGGUUUAAGCGUGUAGGUGUGUGUUCCAGGUAAAUCCGGUUCACUUUAACACUGAGGCGUGAUGACGAGGCACUACGGUGCUGAAGCAACAAAUGCCCUGCUUCCAGGAAAAGCCUCUAAGCAUCAGGUAACAUCAAAUCGUACCCCAAACCGACACAGGUGGUCAGGUAGAGAAUACCAAGGCGCUUGAGAGAACUCGGGUGAAGGAACUAGGCAAAAUGGUGCCGUAACUUCGGGAGAAGGCACGCUGACAUGUAGGUGAAGUGAUUUACUCAUGGAGCUGAAGUCAGUCGAAGAUACCAGCUGGCUGCAACUGUUUAUUAAAAACACAGCACUGUGCAAACACGAAAGUGGACGUAUACGGUGUGACGCCUGCCCGGUGCCGGAAGGUUAAUUGAUGGGGUCAGCGCAAGCGAAGCUCCUGAUCGAAGCCCCGGUAAACGGCGGCCGUAACUAUAACGGUCCUAAGGUAGCGAAAUUCCUUGUCGGGUAAGUUCCGACCUGCACGAAUGGCGUAAUGAUGGCCAGGCUGUCUCCACCCGAGACUCAGUGAAAUUGAACUCGCUGUGAAGAUGCAGUGUACCCGCGGCAAGACGGAAAGACCCCGUGAACCUUUACUAUAGCUUGACACUGAACAUUGAGCCUUGAUGUGUAGGAUAGGUGGGAGGCUUUGAAGCGUGGACGCCAGUCUGCGUGGAGCCGACCUUGAAAUACCACCCUUUAAUGUUUGAUGUUCUAACGUGGACCCGUGAUCCGGGUUGCGGACAGUGUCUGGUGGGUAGUUUGACUGGGGCGGUCUCCUCCUAAAGAGUAACGGAGGAGCACGAAGGUUGGCUAAUCCUGGUCGGACAUCAGGAGGUUAGUGCAAUGGCAUAAGCCAGCUUGACUGCGAGCGUGACGGCGCGAGCAGGUGCGAAAGCAGGUCAUAGUGAUCCGGUGGUUCUGAAUGGAAGGGCCAUCGCUCAACGGAUAAAAGGUACUCCGGGGAUAACAGGCUGAUACCGCCCAAGAGUUCAUAUCGACGGCGGUGUUUGGCACCUCGAUGUCGGCUCAUCACAUCCUGGGGCUGAAGUAGGUCCCAAGGGUAUGGCUGUUCGCCAUUUAAAGUGGUACGCGAGCUGGGUUUAGAACGUCGUGAGACAGUUCGGUCCCUAUCUGCCGUGGGCGCUGGAGAACUGAGGGGGGCUGCUCCUAGUACGAGAGGACCGGAGUGGACGCAUCACUGGUGUUCGGGUUGUCAUGCCAAUGGCACUGCCCGGUAGCUAAAUGCGGAAGAGAUAAGUGCUGAAAGCAUCUAAGCACGAAACUUGCCCCGAG
rnacentral:rRNA from 1 species